AUCCACACAAAGGCAUAGCACGAAUUUUGCCAAAUUUUCAAAAAUGGAAUAUUAGUAAUAAAAAAAACUUUGGUCUGUGCGGUUGAGGAUCAUGAACACGUUAUUCAAAGUAAGUCCCAGAAGAGGUCAGGGAACCGUUAAGGGAACAUUGGGAACUGGGAUCAGGGAACGGUAGGGAACGAAUCGAGGUGGGGUCCAACUGAAUAAAAUGGGGGCAGAGAAGCCAUGCAAACAGUAUUAAAGUGCACGGUCCAAGGGCUUCAUUAUUCAUCCUACUAUCCACACGUCCAUUCCUCUACUUUCAUCUAUAUAUAUAUAUAUAUAUAUGUAUCUGUUGGCCACUUAUAAGAAAUAAGGACUUUCAAUGCCUGUCAGAAAGAUUAUGAAUUCAAUACUAGAGUAUAGAUGAAAAUGGCUAUGAAUGAGAGCUCAUAUUUAUUUAUUUUUGCCGGUGAGGGUGCAGUGAGAGAGCUGAUAUCCUGUUUUGUAACUGCCAGCCCCGUUAUAUUCAUGACUUUUCAUAUUUCUUGCCACUUGAUUGACUUUCCUUGAAGGGGCAGGAUCUUUCUUUGACCGCAAAUAGGCCUGGAAGUUGUUAGGAUCAAUUUGUGAAUGACCCCACAACAACAUAUACCACUUGGUGCUCCAUGAUUGAUGGGAAAUGGACAAGGCAGAGGGCAAUAAACUUGUAGUGUCAGAGGGCUUUGAUGAUCCCCUGUGAAAGCCAGUGUUGCCAUCACCUCCUCAAAAGCAGAGCAAAAUAGGGUUGUAGCACUGUUACCAGGCCGUUUGGCAGGUUUGUUCCCACUUCUUCCCCGUGCAGCACAGUACAUUCGGGAAUCGGGUUUCUAAAUAUAAACAAAACUCGAUGGCGUAUGGAAAGUUUAACAUUCAUAUAUAUAUAUAUAUAUAUAUAUAUCUAUAUAUUUAAAUAAAAGAGCACGAAUAAAAACAGCGAGAGAGAGAGAGAGAGAGAGAGAGGGUUUGGUGAAGAAAUACUUAAGUUCCAUGUGUCUGUUUGAUUUCACUCAUUCAACCCUAAUCUCGACAGUAGCAAUGGAACUCACCUAACCCCAAGUGUCGUGGGCUUGGUUACCGGGAUUCCAACGCCUCACAUUGAAGAAGAAUUUGCGAUCAACUGGCGACUGUAGUGUAUGCAGCAUUGGAUAUGCAUUGUACUACACCAAAGGUCACUGCGGUUGUUCUUCGGCGAAUUAAAGAGCUCAAUUCUGCUGCUUCGAGAUAGAAAUCAAGUCUGGAUUUGUGUAGAGGUUGUGUAGAGGCGCAUCCAAUGAUAGACGCUCAUCUAACUUUCAUAAAUUAGGUUUUCUGUUUACCAGAAAGAUUCAGGUUGUUAUCAGCUGAUUUGUUGACCCAUCGACAAGCAGAAUGCGAAUCACUGAUCGCAUCAUGUCUGCAGCAUUUUGAUUGUGCUCCCUUUGAACUUGAAACAUGUGGUGGCGAACUUGCGAAUGAUUCUUUAGCUACAAGCAAGAAAUCAGGAGCAUUAGUUUAAGAAUUGAACGCCGGUUUGUUGAUUGAGUGCUUGGGCCAGUUGUGGUCAUGGUUUCAAUGGCGCCCCGAGAUUGCUGGUGAGGUCAUGCGAUUUGACUUUGCCAAUUUUUGCCAAUGAGGUACAGAUCUCAGAUUGAGAAAUUUCCGUUCCGUUGAAAUCUAGUUCUCUGUUGUGGAAGUUGGACAUUCUUAUCAGCAAUCGCAACUAUUCCUCAUAUUGUAAUUUGUGAGCCCUUGUCUCUAAGUAAACCAGUAUUCUGCGCCUUUUUGUUUGUCCAAACUGUCAAGGUACAAAUUCUUCAAUUCAGAAGAAUUCUGUGCCUGGAGGUUGUCGUAGAUCCUAGGAGCUCGACCAAGAUGCUUUUAGAGUACUGCAAUUGCUCAUAACACGGAAGUAUUAUUUCUCCUUUUUCUCCAUGUCCAGCGCCUUAGAAUACAUUCUGGAUAGGAAUUAAACCCAGCUCAUUUGCAUGUCGCGUUCAUUUGUGCUUACAAUGCACAGCAUCGAUAUUAUGUCGAGAUGACCAUGGUGUAUGAGUACUUUGCGUCAAAUCAGAUUCCACGUACCAAGGGUGGCUUGCAGCGCCUUCUCAGUUCAGCAAGAAUUUAACGUUAAUCAUGUUAACAUGAGUCCGUGCACAUUGAUUGAACACUUUCUGGAUAGAGUGUAGGAGAGGGAGAUUGACAGGAUAUUCACAAGGCUGGGGCAGCUAGUCACUCUCUGGCAGUUACAAUCCUUACCACAUCACACGAUUCCACAGCAUCUUUGAAAGCCCAAGUGUGUAUUUGCUGAUGGGGGCAGCUCUUCAAUAUGUGUCGAUUGGAAUUUCGACCAGCAAAUUUAUAUGUCUUGAUGCCGAUACGCUGGGGAACAGCUCGUUGCGCUUCAGACCAUAUGUCAAGAACAAUCUCGUGUGGCAACUACCUGGCUUGGCGUUGAUACUUUUUGUGAAGUUGAUAGAUCUUGUUCAUGUCAGCGAUGAUUAUAAAUUUCAUGAUUGGAAAGCUGUAUCAUCAACCGAUUCACAAUGACUGCUUCUGAGAGCAAGCAGGUUGCGGGAGGUCGUUACCGCUUUUGAAAAGCACCUGUCGAGCCCCCACGAAGUGAUUGUGUUGACCAGGACUGGACGAGUAAUUUUGAGCAAUUUCCGGCCCCGCUAGCUGGAACUUUUAACUGGUUAAUUCGAAAAAAUCUAAUAGGGAUUAAGAAGCUUGCGGAAGAACACUGGCAUAUAUGAUAAAUGUGAGGAGAGAGGAUUCAACCUUCUAGCAGAGGACAUGUAAGACUUGUUGAAUAACUGCAAGGUAAGUAUUAUGUGGAAUUGUUCAACA